rnacentral:rRNA from 1 species
UACGGAGGGUGCGAGCGUUGUCCGGAAUCAUUGGGCGUAAAGGGCGCGUAGGUGGCCACUUCAAGCGUGCGGUGAAAGUCGGGGGCUCAACCCCUGAUCGGCCGUGCGAACUGGGGGGCUGGAGCACUGUAGAGGCAGGCGGAAUUCCCGGUGUAGCGGUGAAAUGCGUAGAGAUCGGGAGGAAUACCAGUGGCGAAGGCGGCCUUCUGGACUGACACUGACGCUGAGGCGCGAAAGCCAGGGGAGCAAACGGG